CAGUAGCCGCGGUAAUACGUAGGGUGCAAGCGUUAAUCGGAAUUACUGGGCGUAAAGCGUGCGUAGGCGGCUUUUUAAGUCGGAUGUGAAAUCCCUGAGCUUAACUUAGGAAUUGCAUUCGAUACUGGGAAGCUAGAGUAUGGGAGAGGAUGGUAGAAUUCCAGGUGUAGCGGUGAAAUGCGUAGAGAUCUGGAGGAAUACCGAUGGCGAAGGCAGCCAUCUGGCCUAAUACUGACGCUGAGGUACGAAAGCAUGGGGAGCAAACAGGAUUAGUUACCCCCGUAGUCCCUGUCUCUUAUAC
rnacentral:rRNA from 1 species